GUGGGGAAUAUUGGACAAUGGGGGAAACCCUGAUCUAGCCAUGCCGCGUGAGCGAUGAAGGCCUUAGGGUUGUAAAGCUCUUUCAGCUGGGAAGAUAAUGACUGUACCAGCAGAAGAAGCCCCGGCUAACUCCGUGCCAGCAGCCGCGGUAAUACGGAGGGGGCUAGCGUUGUUCGGAAUUACUGUGCGUAAAGCGCACGUAGGCGGACCGGAAAGUCAGAGGUGAAAUCCCAGGGCUCAACCUUGGAACUGCCUUUGAAACUCCUGGUCUUGAGGUCGAGAGAGGUGAGUGGAAUUCCGAGUGUAGAGGUGAAAUUCGUAGAUAUUCGGAGGAACACCAGUGGCGAAGGCGGCUCACUGGCUCGAUACUGACGCUGAGGUGCGAAAGCGUGGGGAGCAAACAGGAUUAGAAACCCUGGUAGUCC
rnacentral:rRNA from 1 species